rnacentral:lncRNA from 1 species
GACCUUUCAUCUCUCCCGCCCUCCCCUCUCUUCUACAGCAACCAAGACUCUCUUCUGAAGCAACCAAGAAAGAAGAAGGAUCAAGUUGAUCCGAUCAACACAGGCUUCGAUCGACCACCAGUCGGCAAGUCGGCGGUGGCAAAUGGCACAAUGAGUAAAGAUGUUAUGGCGCGAUUUCUCAACAAGAGGAAAGCGGAUGAAAUUGGAUCAUCUUCCGAUUUUGUUGAUGUGAAUGAUCUUCCCUCGGAUCCUCAUGAUCGCAAGGCGAUAGCAUCAUACAACGUGAAUCAACGAGAUGAUGUUAGAAGGGCAUACCUACUAAGAGGACCAUGUCAAC